rnacentral:lncRNA from 1 species
AAGAAAGUGAUUAUUUAAGUAUGCUACAGUUGAAAGAGAUGAAAAUGAUGUAUAUAAAUCACUUAAGGAGUAACGAAUAUAAAGAGGAAAUGUGAAAGAACAUGACAAGAUACUAUGGACUCUACUUAAGAGUCUUAAAUAGAUAUUUUCAUUAAAUUAAUUGGUUAACAAACUGUUAAUUUGUAAGUUAAUCCCAUACACUUUGGUAAAACAAAAUGAAACAACGAAUAGUACUAAAAUGUGGCUUGAAUGAAACUAGCAUGAAAUCCAGAGGAUGGGCUCAACACUAA